rnacentral:rRNA from 1 species
CGCGCGCUACACUGACGGAGCCAGCGAGUACUGGCGUAAGCCUUCCUUGGCCGAAAGGUCCGGGUAAUCUUGUUAAACUCCGUCGUGCUGGGGAUAGUCCUUUGCAAUUAUCGGACUUGAACGAGGAAUUCCUAGUAAGCGCGAUUCAUCAGAUCGCGUUGAUUACGUCCCUGCCCUUUGUACACACCGCCCGUCGCUACUACCGAUUGAAUGGCUUAGUGAGGCCUUCGGAUUGGCGUAUUACUGCCGGCAACGGCUAGUAGUAUGCCGAGAAGUUGGUCAAACUUGGUCAUUUAGAGGAAGUAAAAGUCGUAACAAGGUAUCCGUAGGUGAACCUGCGGAUGGAUCAUUAACGU